rnacentral:tRNA from 1 species
GUCAAGUUAGUUUAACAUAAAACGUCAAUCUGUGGAGUUGAAAAUAGAAAAUCUUCUACUUGACU